AUUGAACGCUGGCGGCAGGCCUAACACAUGCAAGUCGAGCGAGCGGCGGACGGGUGAGUACUGUAUGGGGACUGCCCGAUAGCGGGGGAUAACUACUGGAAACGGUUUCUAAUCCCGCAUACUAUCGGAUAACCCAUAUGGGAGUAGCUAGUAGGUGAGGUAAUGGCUCACCUAGGCGACGAUCCCUAGCUGGUCUGAGAGGAUGAUCAGCCACACUGGGACUGAGACACGGCCCAGACUCCUACGGAGGCAGCAGUGGGGAAUAUUGCACAAUGGGCGAAAGCCUGAUGGAGCAAUGCCGCGUGUAUGAAGAAGGUCCUAGGGUUGUAAAGUACUUUCAGUCGGGAGGCGGUACCGACAGAAGAAGCAACGGCUAACUCCGUGCCAGCAGCCGCGGUAAUAC
rnacentral:rRNA from 1 species